CCUACGGGAGGCAGCAGUGAGGAAUAUUGGUCAAUGGGCGAGAGCCUGAACGAGCAAAGUCGCGUGAGGGAGUACUGCCCUCUGGGUUGUCAACCUCUUUUGUCGAGGAGCAAAAGCCGGACGUGUCCGGCUGUGAGCGUACCCGAAGAAAAAGCAUCGGCUAACUCCGUGCCAGCAGCCGCGGUCAUAUGGAGGAUGCGAGGGUUAUCCGGGUUUAGUGGGUUUAAGGGGUGCGCAGGCGGAUUUAUAAGUUAGCGGACAAUUCGUGGGCGCAACCCCAGCGAGCCGUGGAAACUGGGGAUCUUGAGUGUACGAGAGGUCAGCGGAAUGCGUUGUGUAGCGGUGAAAUGCAUAGAUAUCACGCAGAACCCCGAUUGCGAAGGCAGCAUACCGGUGCACAACUGACGCUCAGGCACGAAAGCGUGGGUAGCGAACAGGAUUAGAUACCCCUGUAGUC
rnacentral:rRNA from 1 species